rnacentral:rRNA from 1 species
UACGAAGGGGGCUAGCGUUGCUCGGAAUCACUGGGCGUAAAGCGCACGUAGGCGGAUUGCUAAGUCAGGGGCGAAAUCCUGGAGCUCAACUCCAGAACUGCCUUUGAUACUGAGGAUCUUGAGUACGGGAGAGGUGAGUGGAACUGCGAGUGUAGAGGUGAAAUUCGUAGAUAUUCGCAAGAACACCAGUGGCGAAGGCGGCUCACUGGCCCGUAACUGACGCUGAGGCACGAAAGCGUGGGGAGCAAACAGG